CCUACGGGAGGCAGCAGUAGGGAAUAUUGCUCAAUGGGGGAAACCCUGAAGCAGCAACGCCGCGUGGGGGAUGAAGGUUUUCGGUUUGUAAACUCCUUUUGUUAGAGAAGAUAAUGACGGUAUCUAACGAAUAAGCACCGGCUAACUCCGUGCCAGCAGCCGCGGUAAUACGGAGGGUGCAAGCGUUACCCGGAUUUACUGGGCGUAAAGAGCGCGUAGGCGGGAUAGCAAGUCAGAUGUGAAAUCCUAUGGCUUAACCAUAGAACUGCAUUUGAAACUGGUAUUCUAGAGUGUGGGAGAGGUAGGUGGAAUUCUUGGUGUAGGGGUAAAAUGCGUAGAUAUCAAGAGGAAUACUCAUUGCGAAGGCGACCUGCUAGAACAUAACUGACGCUGAGGCGCGAAAGCGUGGGGAGCAAACAGGAUUAGAUACCCGAGUAGUC
rnacentral:rRNA from 1 species